AAUAAAAAAUUUAGGAUAGGCACAGGCACUAAUGGGAAAUUUAAAAAUAUUGGCAGAUUUUUUAUACUUGUUGAAGGUACAUUGGGGUUUGUUACUAUUUUCUGUACGUUUGUGUGUAUUUGGAAAUAUCCAUAAUAAUUAGUUAAAAUGCAUUACCAAUUAUAGCUGUAGAGGAUGAAAUUUAAUGUAGUAAAAUUAUGUGGUGGACAUUUGAGCAAAUUGACUAAUCAAAAAUUCUCCACUUUUCUAUAAGUUCUGCUUUUAGUGAACAGAUUUUAAGAAUAAGGAGGAUUUUGUGGAAAUGUGGUCACAAGAUUAAAAUUCUCUUUGAGAUGUGGUAAUGUUAAUUUCCUCUUUUGUCUUUUAUCUUCAGGGCAAGAUAAGAGUUGCCCAUUUCACAGAUGAGGAAACUAAGAUCUUAGAGAGACUAACUAGUUUAUGCCAAUCCCUCAGCAAGUAAGAAGUGGCAGUGGGACUGGAGCCGAGACCUUGACUCAUUCUCAGGUGCCCAUUCUCUUUUCUACACAUACUUCUUUUUGUUUUUGUUUUGUUUUUUUUUUUUUUUGUCUUUUUGCCAUUUCUUGGGAACUUCCACAUGUCACAGGUGCAGCCCUUAAAAAAAAAAAAAAAAAAUUUAUCAAGGCCUCAAAGAUCUUUUGUUUAUAUUGACUAUAUCUAAACACUAUUUGACCUAUUAGAAAUUAAAACUGGGAAAUGUUUACAGUACUUAUUUAAAAAUAACAAACUUGUUAAGAGUUAACAUAAAUAGCAUAGUUUUAGGAAAAAGGUAUUCCAAAACAAAAAAUGCAGUGAGAGGCAUGAGAUGAUUUUACAUUUUGCCACUCUCCCUAAUGGAUUGCUUAGUAGAAAACAGCUGGAUUUUCAUAACUGCUUUUUAUAGUCAGUCUGUUGUGAUAUGUUUUGUUUGAAGUAUAGAAGAAAAUCCGGCUAUACAUAGUAUUUCAGUGUCUUCUUCAUGUAGUUGUGAAUAUUCUUUGAUGUUUCAAAACCCAGCAAGCAGUGGAUUCUUGGGUUAGUCGCAAUGUUGAAUCUGAAACCUUAUUAAUGAAUUCCUUGUACUCUAACGUAAACGUCUAUUGGUCCAUCUUGCACUUUGGAUGGAUCUUUCAUCUGUGUGUGAUUUUAUAACAUCGUACAUUGGUCAUUUGAAAAAUAAUGAUUUACUGAGUUCUGUAGAUCUUUCAAAUAUUUGACUCAUUUGAUUACACAGUAUUUGACAAACCACAUUCAUUAAUAUGACCAUUAACCUUAUCCAGAAAGUCUCUAAGAAGUGGGAAGCAAUCAAGAUUUUGGCAUCCAGUUCAGGUUUUCCAAAAUUCUGAUUUUUUUUUUUCUUGAAAGCUCUCAUUUUAUCAUCAGCAGAUAUUGUCAGUUUUUUCCUUGAAGUGUCAGGCUCACACUUUAUUUUAGAGAAAGUGUCUGCCAGGUACCUAAGUCUGAAUAACUAUAAAUUAUCUCCCAGUCAUUCUUUUAGCAAAAAUGGUAUUCUUGAAAAAGUAUAUAGUUGAGCUCACAACUCUAUUGCAUAAAUGCUUUUUCUCAAGACACCUGUCGUAUUAGAUACGCAGAAAUGCUUUUUGUGUGUCUCCCAUUUCAUCACACAGAUUAUUAAAAAUACCAAGUUCUCAAGAAUAAAAUUUAAUAAAGUUAAUAACUUUUAUUGUUUUAUCAAGGUCAUUGUAAUUCAAAGCUGGCUUUUUAGAAACGAUUGAAAGCCAGUGAAGGAUACAGUUUUUGCUAGUACAGUUUUGUACCCCAACCUUGACUCAUGCUAAAGUGUUAGCAGUUUUGCCCUCCAUUGCUUUUGUACCAAUAGAGCAGAUCUCAACAUGGUUGUUUCAGAAUAAAUCAUGAGUUUCAAAAGUUCAUCAUUGCAGGAUUUGAGCCUCAUCUUCAACCUACACCACGGUUCAUGGCAAUGCCAGAUCCUUAACCCACUGAGCGAGGCCAGGGAUCGAACCUGCAUCCUCAUGGAUCCUACUUGGGUUCAUUAACCACUGAGUCACGAAGGGAACUCCCAAAAGUUAUGUAAUACUUUGAGUAAUUCAGCAGCUUUUGUAUUUGUUGUCAAGCACUCACAUAAAAGAAGACCUUCGCUGAUAAGUUGGUGUGGAUACUGCAUUAAUAAAAACAAAACAGUAAGUCCACACAUGUCUGCAGAUUUGUCUGCUUAUAAAGCAAAACUACAGUCCUUUAGGUGAGGUAAUAACUUGUAGAUAUUACCAUUUGAUGUAAUGAGCUACUGCAUCAUUGGCAAGUGGCAUUGCUAAUUUCUCUUACUGACUUUUCAUUCAGCAGAUAUUCAGCAGUGCCAGCCACGCAAAGGUUUAUUAGUUGCUCAGCUAUCUUGUACGCUGCUCCAACUGAUGCCUUCUGAUAAUUUACGUGGCAUGAUGCUUCUGUGGCUUUUUCAUUUCUAAUUUGGAGACAGUCUUUGGCUUUCUAAAGAGUUCAUCAUGUCAGUGUUUAAAACAUUCGAUUUCUUUUUCUUUAAAUCUACAAUGAAUUCAUUGGAUGAUAACAAGGUGGAAAUUAUAGCAGAUACAACCAAAGAUUACUACUGCUAGGAACGUACGUACGGGUGCUGAAAACACACGGAGUUAAUUUCUGAAAACAUGCACAUUUAUACCUUAAACUUGCUUUCCUAGAACAUUUUAAAUACAAGACUGUACAAGCAUGUGUUUCAUUAGCUGUCAGAAUGAUACAUUAUCGUCACAUAGCGUGGAUUCACCAUUGUGAAGAAGGCAGAUAACAUCUUUGUAUUACUAAAAAUUGUUUUGACAUUGUAGAUUCCCUGAAAAGCUCUCAGAUUCCCCCCAGGGGUCUCUGGAUUACACUUUGAAAAUGCUGAUAUAAGAGUUCCUGUUGUGGCUUAACGGAAACGAACCCAACUAGUAUCCAUGAGGAUGCGGGUUCAAUCCCUGUACCCACUCAGUGGAUUAAGGAUCUGGCGUUGCCUUAAGCUGCAGUGUAGGUUACAGAUGCUGCUCCAAUCUGGUGUGGCUGUGGCAUAAGCUGGCAGCUGCAGCUGUGAUUUGACCUCUAGUCCAGGAACUGCCAUGUGCCACACCUGCAGCCCUUAAAAAAAAAAAAAAAAAA
rnacentral:lncRNA from 1 species